GACGAACGCUGGCGGCGUGCUUAACACAUGCAAGUCGAACGGAAAGGCCCUGCUUUUGUGGGGUGCUCGAGUGGCGAACGGGUGAGUAACCCGUGAGUCACCUGCCCUUGACUUUGGGAUAACUUCAGGCAACUGGGGCUAAUACCGGAUAGGAGCUCCUGCUGCUUGGUGGGGGUUGGAACGUUUCGGCGGUUGGGGAUGGACUCGCGGCUUAUCAGCUUGUUGGUGGGGUAGUGGCUUACCAAGGCUUUGAUGGGUAGCCGGCCUGAGAGGGGGACCGGCCACAAUGGGACUGAGAUACGGCCCAGACUCCUACGGGGGGCAGCAGUGGGGAAUAUUACACAAUGGGCGGAAGCCUGAUGCAGCAACGCCGCGUGCGGGAUGACGGCCUUCGGGUUGGAAACCGCUUUCGCCUGUGACGAAGCGGGAGUGACGGUAAUGGGUAAAGAAGCACCGGCUAACUACGUG
rnacentral:rRNA from 1 species